rnacentral:rRNA from 1 species
AACGAACGCUGGCGGCAUGGAUUAGGCAUGCAAGUCGAACGGUAACGCGGGGCAACCUGGCGACGAGUGGCGAACGGGUGAGUAAUACAUCGGAACGUGCCCAGUAGUGGGGGAUAGCCCGGCGAAAGCCGGAUUAAUACCGCAUACGACCCACGGGUGAAAGCGGGGGACCGCAAGGCCUCGCGCUAUUGGAGCGGCCGAUGUCGGAUUAGCUAGUUGGUGGGGUAAAAGCCUACCAAGGCGACGAUCUGUAGCUGGUCUGAGAGGACGACCAGCCACACUGGGACUGAGACACGGCCCAGACUCCUACGGGAGGCAGCAGUGGGGAAUUUUGGACAAUGGGGGCAACCCUGAUCCAGCCAUGCCGCGUGCGGGAAGAAGGCCUUCGGGUUGUAAACCGCUUUUGUUCGGGAAGAAAUCCCUUGGGAUAAUACCUCGAGGGGAUGACGGUACCGGAAGAAUAAGCACCGGCUAACUACGUGCCAGCCGCCGCGGUAAAAC